rnacentral:rRNA from 1 species
ACAAUCUACCUAAAACAGGGGGAUAGCCUUUCGAAAGAGAGAUUAAUACCCCGUAAUAUAUUUGAUGGCAUCAUUGAAUAUUGAAAGCUCCGGCGGUUUUAGAUGAGUAUGCGUCUGAUUAGCUAGUUGGUGGUGUAAUGGACCACCAAGGCUACGAUCAGUAGGGGAUCUGAGAGGACUACCC